UACGUAGGGGGCUAGCGUUGUCCGGAUUUAUUGGGCGUAAAGAGCGUGUAGGCGGCCAGGUAGGUCUGCUGUGAAACUCGAGGCUCAACCUCGAGACGUCGGCGGAAACCAUCUGGCUAGAGUCCGGAAGAGGAGAGUGGAAUUACCUGGUGUAGCGGUGAAAUGCGCAGAUAUCAGGAAGAACACCCGUGGCGAAGGCGGCUCUCUGGGACGGUACUGACGCUGAGACGCGAAAGCGUGGGGAGCAAACAGGG
rnacentral:rRNA from 1 species